ACAGGCUUAACACAUGCAAGAAGAGGGGAAACGAUAGAGAAAGCUUGCUUUUUCUAGGCGUCGACCGGCGCACGGGUGAGUAACGCGUAUCCAACCUGCCCAUCACUUGGGGAUAACCUUGCGAAAGUAAGACUAAUACCCAAUGACGUCCAUAGAAGACAUCUGAAGUGGAUUAAAGAUUUAUCGGUGAUGGAUGGGGAUGCGUCUGAUUAGCUUGUUGGCGGAGUAACGGCCCACCAAGGCGACGAUCAGUAGGGGUUCUGAGAGGAAGGUCCCCCACAUUGGAACUGAGACACGGUCCAAACUCCUACGGGAGGCAGCAGUGAGGAAUAUUGGUCAAUGGGCGAGAGCCUGAACCAGCCAAGUAGCGUGCAGGAUGACGGCCCUAUGGGUUGUAAACUGCUUUUAUAAGGGAAUAAAGUGAGUCUCGUGAGACUUUUUGCAUGUACCUUAUGAAUAAGGACCGGCUAAUUCCGUGCCCGCAGCCGCGGUAAUACGGAAGGUCCGGGCGUUAUCCGGAUUUAUUGGGUUUAAAGGGAGCGUAGGCCGGAGAUUAAGCGUGUUGUGAAAUGUAGACGCUCAACGUCUGCACUGCAGCGCGAACUGGUUUCCUUGAGUACGCACAAAGUGGGCGGAAUUCGUGGUGUAGCGGUGAAAUGCUUAGAUAUCACGAAGAACUCCGAUUGCGAAGGCAGCUCACUGGAGCGCAACUGACGCUGAAGCUCGAAAGUGCGGGUAUCGAACAGGAUUAGAUACCCUGGUAGUCCGCACGGUAAACGAUGGAUGCCCGCUGUUGGUCUGAAUAGGUCAGCGGCCAAGCGAAAGCAUUAAGCAUCCCACCUGGGGAGUACGCCGGCAACGGUGAAACUCAAAGGAAUUGACGG
rnacentral:rRNA from 1 species